AGAGUAAGCGCAAAGGAUGAGCACUAGAGAUGGCUUCAGGCAAGGGCAGAUCUAAAGAAGAGGAUAAAUCUGGGGCCAUCUGGUGUGUCAGCUCGCAUGGAAAAUCAAGGAGCUUGAAUGCUGGGCCACAUCAGUGACACCUACUAGAAACUGAUGAAGAUGAGAAGGAGGAUUUGAAUUUGUUACUGUUGUUGGAUUCCUACAGUAUUUGGUCAAAGAGAAUGAAACAUUUUCAGUGGGAUUACAUGAAGAUAUCAUAACGAAGGAAAAGAACCAAAGAAAAGGAGGUUCCGAAAAAAAUGGCUGAGACAACGGGCAGCAUAGAGGAGGAAUCCUUGACUCCUGGAGGAAAGGGGAUCCUUGAUAUCCAACAGCCUUGGCUGAAGCUAGGGGCUGUGUACCUUCAAGACGUGCUUUUGGCUACCCAGCACCAAGGCUGCGAUUCAGGACUGCUGUUUGGUUGUAGCAAAGAUCUCUGGGCUCUCAAGAUACCUAUACCUGAAGCUGAGAGCCAAAAUCCAAUACCUGGGUAGAGUCCCAGAGAGACAGAUUCUGAAAACAGGGAUGCGGGACUCAGUCCUACCCAGGAAGUUGGGUUUGGCUGUUUUUGCAUAAUUAUCCAUCUGUAUGAGAAAUGUGCUGACUUGUUUUGAACUCUGUGAACUACUUCUAGAACAAUUAAAUUUUAAACAAUUGCUUUAUUGUGUAUGCAAAUGGAGGCAAAGGGGAUGGAAGCAGGAGAGAUUAGAACUGCCACAAUUCAGUUUGAAAUUAUGAGUGACAAAGGAUUCGAUAUUAGUUUAAAGCUGAAAUAGAUACUUGUUUAGAGGAAAAGAAGUUGGAAUACAAGAAAGAAGGGGCUUAUAAAAUAUUUCAUUACCCAAAGAAUUUCAGAUUCUUAGUUCACAUGACUUUUACCCCAAAGUGUUCUAUUUUGUGUGGAUGAAGAUGAUGACUGUGAACACUGACUUUGGAAUUUUUGCCUCUCUUUCUUCUAUCGUCCUCUUUUUUUCCUCCCCUCCCUUGAGGUGCCCUCUGGCCUCUUUUCUUCCUUGAUUUCCAGAUCUGUUUUUGUUUUGUUUUGUUUCCUUUCUGGAGUUUUAAAGCCUGCAGGUUAAAAAGAGUGAAGAAGGCAGAUCUGAAAUGCUCAAGAGAGUUCACGUCGUGUAAAAGCAGGAGUGAAAGUCAAAUGGGGAAAAAAUUACGGAAAAGCACAAUGCAUGGGACUGAAAAGUUUAAAGGAGGCUUAAAAAGAGACCUUCAAAAACGAAUUUUUCCUUGAGAAACUCUCUAUCAAAUGUUCUUUCAGGUUCUUUUAUCUCCUGGGUGUUCAGUGAGCUAUGUUUUAAGACAGAAACGCUCCCCUGAGCAUGUGUAAGCUCAGAAAUGAACUGGAAACUAACUAGAGAUGCAAAAUUUUACUUCGUACCCUGGGAGUUUUCUUUUCCCCCCAACUGUGCUUGAUAUGCUGGAUUUUUAUAGUUCAGGGAUAUACGUAGUUCUGGAACAGUGGAUCAUGGCUUUUAUUUUCCAUGAUAGAGUUGAUUCUUUGCAUGUGCUGAUGUUUUUGUCAGUAUCGAGUCACAGCAAUUUACCUUGUGUUUUAUAAAGCCUAUAGCAUAGUAUGCAAGAGUGCAUCAAGGUGAGCCUAACAGACCAAUAGCUAAGCCAUUUUGGAGGAGAUGCUGCUAGAGAUGACAAGAAUGAACUGUAAGGUUAUGAAUUACAAUUAUAGGAAUAUAAAAUAUAUUGACUAGCCAUAGAUGUAUUUACUGUAAGAGAGAGACUAGACUGGUCCAAAUUCAGCACUGUUUUACUUUUUCUUAGGAUCCCACCAGGCCAGAUCUUGACCUGAAUCAGAUGAAUAUCAAAUCAGAGUAAAUAGAAAUGAACCAGUUUAUAACCAUGAGAGAUAAGAACCGAAGAUGUUGAUGUCACUGUAGCUGCAUCUAAUAAAACUCAAUUUGGACCAACUAAAGCA
rnacentral:lncRNA from 1 species